GAUGAACGCUGGCGGUAUGCUUAACACACGCCAGUCGAACGGACUCUUCGGAGUUAGUGGCGGACGGGUGAGUAACGCGUGAGAAUCUGGCUUUGGGUUCGGGACAACCACUGGAAACGGUGGCUAAUACCGGAUGUGCCGAGAGGUAAAAGAGAAAUUGCCUGAAGAUGAGCUCGCGUCUGAUUAGCUAGUUGGUGAGGUAAAGGCUCACCAAGGCAGCGAUCAGUAGCUGGUCUGAGAGGAUGACCAGCCACACUGGGACUGAGACACGGCCCAGACUCCUACGGGAGGCAGCAGUGGGGAAUUUUCCGCAAUGGGCGAAAGCCUGACGGAGCAAUACCGCGUGAGGGAAGAAGGCUCUUGGGUUGUAAACCUCUUUUCUUAGGGAAGAACAAAAUGACGGUACCUAAGGAAUCAGCAUCGGCUAACUCCGUG
rnacentral:rRNA from 1 species